UACGAAGGGGGCUAGCGUUGUUCGGAUUUACUGGGCGUAAAGCGCACGUAGGCGGAUCUUUAAGUCAGAGGUGAAAUCCCAAGGCUCAACCUUGGAACUGCCUUUGAUACUGGGGAUCUCGAGUCCGGGAGAGGUGAGUGGAACUGCGAGUGUAGAGGUGAAAUUCGUAGAUAUUCGCAAGAACACCAGUGGCGAAGGCGGCUCACUGGCCCGGUACUGACGCUGAGACGCGAAAGCGUGGGGAGCGAACAGG
rnacentral:rRNA from 1 species